rnacentral:rRNA from 1 species
GGAAUAUUGGACAAUGGGCGAAAGCCUGAUCCAGCGACGCCGCGUGGGUGAAGAAGGCCUGCGGGUUGUAAAGCCCUUUCGGUGGGGAAGACAAGCCUCGACCUAACACGUCCGGGUCUUGACGUAACCCAUAGACGAAGCACCGCCUCACUCUGUGCCAGCAGCCGCGGUAAUACAGAGGGUGCGAGCGUUAAUCGGAAUUCCUGGGCGUAAAGCGCGCGUAGGCGGCUUUGCAAGUCGGGUGUGAAAUCCCUGGGCUUAACCUGGGAACUGCAUUCGAGACUGCAUUGCUAGAGUAUGGGAGAGGGAAGUGGAAUUUCCGGUGUAGCGGUGAAAUGCGUAGAUAUCGGAAGGAACAUCAGUGGCGAAAGCGACUUCCUGGACCAAUACUGACGCUCAUGUGCGAAAGCGUGGGGAGCAAAC